AACGAACGCUGGCGGCACGCCUAACACAUGCAAGUCGAACGAGACCUUCGGGUCUAGUGGCGCACGGGUGCGUAACGCGUGGGAACCUGCCCUUAGGUUCGGAAUAACUCCCCGAAAGGGGUGCUAAUACCGGAUAAUGUCUUCGGACCAAAGAUUUAUCGCCUUUGGAUGGGCCCGCGUUGGAUUAGCUAGUUGGUAGGGUAAAAGCCUACCAAGGCGACGAUCCAUAGCUGGUCUGAGAGGAUGAUCAGCCACACUGGGACUGAGACACGGCCCAGACUCCUACGGGAGGCAGCAGUGGGGAAUAUUGGACAAUGGGCGAAAGCCUGAUCCAGCAAUGCCGCGUGAGUGAUGAAGGCCUUAGGGUUGUAAAGCUCUUUUACCCAGGAUGAUAAUGACAGUACCGGGAGAAUAAGCUCCGGCUAACUCCGUG
rnacentral:rRNA from 1 species